UUUUCCUCCAUCUCUUCCCCCUCUGUGUACAUAUCCCUCAUUCCCUUUCUUGCUGUGUCCACCUUCUGCUCUCAUAUGCACUGUAUCCUUGGAUGAUGCAGCAGAUGAACUGGGAAUCGAGUUCAUGGAGAGUCGUGAAACUUACCAGAGACAGGUGCUGUCCAUCUUCAGCAUCGCUUCAGGGAUCUGUUUCCUCGGAGUGGCAUGCAUUGCUCUCUAUCGCCAUAACAUGAGACACAGGGAAAAGCUCUGGGAGCACUUCUCUGAAAGCCGGAACCUGAGGGACUGCAGUAUCAACGCCUCUGGGCUCAUGUCUAAAUCCAGCCCCAGGUCUCAUUGCGCUCAGCAGCUUCAGAAGUGCUGCAAAUCUCCUCAAGGGGGCAGCAGUCUGACAGCUGACACACCCACAGCAACUCCUACUGUCACUAGAACACUCCCCAAAGGCAAACGUUUCAGGAGUAGCUCCCUGUCCAUCAGUCCAGCCCAAAGACACCCAGACACUCAUCACUUCAAGACCCCACCAAUCUCUCGAGGACCAAGGGCUGCGGGUCCUGUCUAUAGGCAUCUGCAGGAGGUGGAUUCUACUGAGACUGAGGCAGAGUCUUUAAAACGGCUUGAAAAUAGGAGGGACAGAGCAGAUGACCGCCAUCGCAGUGGCUUCCUGAAUAUGCAAACCCGGUCUCGUGCACCUGAGAAGAAGCAAUGGAGGGAGGUGCCGUGCACUCGCUUGGACAGAAGACUAACACCUUCUCCUCCCUCUCUCCGCACACACUCCGUUCCCAUCAUCCCCUCUCUGCAGGGAAAUGAAUGCGAGUGGGCUCGUGUGGACAGGCGCAGCCGGGGUGACUUGCAGGGAAGUGGUCUAGCCGGGUCAGGCUUCUCUUCAAUCUUAUCCUCUGAGGCUGUACUUGAAUCUGAGGCCAGACCCAGUUACAUAUGUCCCCGCAGUGCUAAGACUGCUCUGGGAUUGCAAACAUACCACAUGCAACCACAUACCUUUGAAACUCCAAAAGGAUCAGAGCGCAUGCUCCAACACUCAAGCCUUGCGGCCUCUGGGACAGCAUCAUCCGGAUCCAGGUUGAAUAGCACAAACACUGGUAUUUCUGUGACUGUGCUUAAGUCAGAGGGUAAAAGCAUGCAGUAUACACCCAGACUGCUCUACAGCUCUUCCGGAGGCAGGGGUCCUCAGGCAGCAGAGCAAAGACAGACCCAUGAGCUUGGUAAACAUGUCCCCCUGCUGAUUGAUGGAGAAGCAACCUGUUUCCUUUCAGCAGCGAUGGGCAGAGGCGCUGGAAUUACUUGUGCCAAAACUUCUGACAGCUGAUUUGAUUAUUUCUCACUAACCUGCAAGUCAAGACUCCGCCUACCGGCAUCGAUGACACGGGUUGGGGGUUGGACCACCUGCCUAACUAAUUGGACCAAUCCCAUAUGGUCUGUGGUUUCUGUAAAUGAGCCACAGCAUUCUGGAUUAAAGAGAGGAAUUUAUUGACACAUUAAAGACACUGAAUUAUUAAGAAAACACACACACACACACAGUUUAUGUGAAUAAUGUGAAACAAUGUAGACAGACAUAAAGACUGGGGAGGGAGCUUGAUUUAAAAGUGUAUUGAAAAAGCUUUAUUUAAACAAAGCUUCUACUUAGAAACCAAAAUAGUGUGUCAUCUCUAUGUUGUUUCUCUAUUGUAAAGAACUCAAAUUAUAUAUGUCAUAUAUAUGUCGUAUAGACGUAUAUAUAUUUGACAUGACGUGACAAAAUAAAGACAAAGACUACCGAGG
ensembl:lncRNA